rnacentral:lncRNA from 1 species
AUUCAGUGAGGCACGAAAUGGCUUGUCCCAGGUGUGGAUCCGAUGAGGUUUUGCAAAGAAUCAGUUAUAUGUAGAUGUAUAUAGUCCAUUUAGAAGUUUAUGAUGGUGCUCUUCUGGUUGAUCCGAGUCGUUUGUGUGUUUUUUCUAACGAUUUGUCGAAAAAGAACCUUACUUCCUUGCAGAUUUUGGCCCAUUAUCCCUGGAGACAUGAGCUGAUGGACAGCUCCACCUUAUAA